CCUACGGGAGGCAGCAGUGAGGAAUCUUGGUCAAUGGACGAGAGUCUGAACCAGCCAAGUAGCGUGAAGGAUGACUGCCCUAUGGGUUGUAAACUUCUUUUAUAAAGGAAUAAAACGAGGCACGUGUGCCUUUUUGCAUGUACUUUAUGAAUAAGGAUCGGCUAACUCCGUGCCAGCAGCCGCGGUAAUACGGAGGAUCCGAGCGUUAUCCGGACUUAUUGGGUUUAAAGGGAGCGUAGAUGGGUUGUUAAGUCAGUUGUGAAAGUUUGCGGCUCAACCGUAAAAUUGCAAUUGAUACUGGCAGUCGUGAGUACAGUUGAGGUAGGCGGAAUUCGUGGUGUAGCGGUGAAAUGCUUAGAUAUCACGAAGAACCCCGAUUGCGAAGGCAGCUUACUAAACUGUGACUGACAUUGAUGCUCGAAAGUGUGGGUAUCAAACAGGAUUAGAUACCCCUGUAGUC
rnacentral:rRNA from 1 species